UACAGAGGGUGCGAGCGUUGUCCGGAAUCACUGGGCGUAAAGGGCGCGUAGGCGGUCUGGUAAGCGUGUGGUGAAAGCUCGGGGCUCAACUCCGAGUCGGCCGUGCGAACUGGGCUCACUGGAGCAUAGUAGAGGCAGGUGGAAUUCCGGGUGUAGCGGUGGAAUGCGUAGAGAUCCGGAAGAACACCGGUGGCGAAGGCGGCCUGCUGGGCUAUGGCUGACACUGAGGCGCGACAGCGUGGGGAGCAAACAGG
rnacentral:rRNA from 1 species